GACGAACGCUGGCGGCGUGCUUAACACAUGCAAGUCGAACGGAAAGGCCCUGCUUUUGUGGGGUGCUCGAGUGGCGAACGGGUGAGUAACACGUGAGUAACCUGCCCUUGACUUUGGGAUAACUUCAGGAAACUGGGGCUAAUACCGGAUAGGAGCUCCUGCUGCAUGGUGGGGGUUGGAAAGUUUCGGCGGUUGGGGAUGGACUCGCGGCUUAUCAGCUUGUUGGUGGGGUAGUGGCUUACCAAGGCUUUGACGGGUAGCCGGCCUGAGAGGGUGACCGGCCACAUUGGGACUGAGGUACGGCCAAGACUCCUACGGGAGGCAGCAGUGGGGAAUAUUGCACAAUGGGCGGAAGCCGGAUGCAGCAACGCCGCGUGCGGGAGGACGGCCUUCGGGUUGUAAACCGCUUUCGCCUGUGACGAAGCGUGAGGGACGGGAAUGGGUAAAGAAGCACCGGCUAACUACGU
rnacentral:rRNA from 1 species